rnacentral:lncRNA from 1 species
GACGACGACGUCACGGGCCAUGCCGGUUACAUGGCAGCGAAUGUCAUGGCAAGCGAAGACAGCAAGGAUUUUCAAAGGCGAGGCCGAUUCCCUGGCUGCCUGAAGUUUGGCAGGAAUUUACCAACAAUGCUCAAGCACUUUCUGUCAUCAUCUUCUCUCAAAGGGCCAUCGACGGAGUUAACCUCAAAGCAAAAGGCUGGAUGGCUGGGCAUUUGGAUUGGUGCUCGUGGUCACAAAGUUUACAAGACAUUCAGAUGGAAUGAAGUGUUCAGAAGCACCCAAACCAGACACGGUGUCUCCCUCCAACUCUUUUGUUGUGCAGAGGCACAUCCCCACUUUCUCUCAGGGUGAUUCAUGCCUUGGACAUCCCUUGGAUGGACAUUAAAAUGAGUAUCCCAUCUGCC